rnacentral:rRNA from 1 species
UACAGAGGGUGCGAGCGUAAUCGGAAUUACUGGGCGUAAAGCGUGCGUAGACGGUUAUUUAAGUCGGGUGUGAAAGCCCCGGGCUCAACCUGGGAAUUGCAUUCGAGACUGAAUAGCUAGGGUACGGUAGAGGGAAGCGGAAUUUCCGGUGUAGCGGUGAAAUGCGUAGAUAUCUGGAGGAACACCGGUGGCGAAGGCGGCGUUCUGGACUGGCAACUGACACUGAGGAACGAAAGCCAGGGGAGCAAACGGGG